GAUGAAGAACGCAGCGAAAUGCGAUAAGUAGUGUGAAUUGCAGAAUUCAGUGAAUCAUCGAAUCUUUGAACGCACAUUGCGCCCCUUGGUAUUCCAUGGGGCAUGCCUGUUCGAGCGUCAUUUGUACCUUCAAGCUUUGCUUGGUGUUGGGUGUUUGUCUCGCCUUUGCGUGUAGACUCGCCUUAAAAUAAUUGGCAGCCGGCGUAUUGAUUUCGGAGCGCAGUACAUCUCGCGCUUUGCACUCAUAACGACUGCGUCCAAAAGUACAUUUUACACUCUUGACCUCGGAUCAGGUAGGGAUACCCGCUGAACUUAAGCAUAUCAAUAAGCGGAGGA
rnacentral:misc_RNA from 1 species